rnacentral:tRNA from 1 species
GGGGUGAUGGCUCAGCAGUAGAGCGCUUGCCUAGCAUGUGUGAGUCACUGGGUUCGAUUCUCAACACCACA